rnacentral:rRNA from 1 species
CCUACGGGAGGCUGCAGUGGGGAAUUGUUCACAAUGGGCGCAAGCCUGAUGACGCAACGCCGCGUGGAGGAUGAAGGUCUUCGGAUUGUAAACUCCUGUUGCCCGGGACGAAAUGCUCCAACCUAAUACGUUGGAGUUUGACGGUACCGGGUGAGGAAGCCCCGGCUAACUCUGUGCCAGCAGCCGCGGUAAUACAGAGGGGGCAAGCGUUGUUCGGAAUUACUGGGCGUAAAGGGCGCGUAGGCGGCCUUCUAAGUCGAACGUGAAAUCCCCGGGCUCAACCCGGGAACUGCGUCCGAGACUGGGAGGCUUGAAUCCGGGAGAGGGAUGUGGAAUUCCAGGUGUAGCGGUGAAAUGCGUAGAUAUCUGGAGGAACAUCGGUGGCGAAGGCGGCAUCCUGGACCGGUAUUGACGCUGAGGCGCGAAAGCCAGGGGAGCAA